rnacentral:rRNA from 1 species
GAUGAACGCUGGCGGCGUGCCUAAUACAUGCAAGUCGAGCGAACGGACGAGAAGCUUGCUUCUCUGAUGUUAGCGGCGGACGGGUGAGUAACACGUGGAUAACCUACCUAUAAUACUGGGAUAACUUCGGGAAACCGUAGCUAAUACCGGAUAAUAUUUUGAACCGCAUGGUUCAAAAGUGAAAGACGGUCUUGCUGUCACUUAUAGAUGGAUCCGCGCUGCAUUAGAUAGUUGGUAAGGUAACGGCUUACCAAGGCAACGAUGCAUAUCCGACCUGAUAGGGUGAUCGGCCACACUGGAACUGAGACACGGUCCAGACUCCUACGGGAGGCAGCAGUAGGGAAUCUUCCGCAAUGGGCGAAAGCCUGACGGAGCAACGCCGCGUGAGUGAUGAAGGUCUUCGGAUCGUAAAACUCUGUUAUUAGUGAAGAACAUAUGUGUAAGUAACUGUGAACAUCUUGACGGUACCUAAUCAGAAAGCCACGGCUAACUACGUG